rnacentral:rRNA from 1 species
CUUUUUGCCAAACCUUAACCGUUAGACCUUAACGGUCCGGUUUAAAACAACAGACCCCCACCAUGUCCUAAACCCGAACCUUUUCAACCGGGUUAAGGUUCGCUAGAGCGCGUUCCAAAGGCCUUUCCGAGCCUUUGCGGGUCGUCGGGGGUGGGGCGUAUGGAGCGAGCAAGCGACCUGCUGGACGAGAGCGAGGGCUGAGGGGACUUAGUUGGCGGCCGCCGCCGCCAAGGGUCCCCUAAAUCCUCGAGUUUAAAGGCACCACGGUUCCAAAGACAAUGAUAGUCUAUCCUCGGACUCCACCAGUUGCUUAUUGUAAACCAAUUGUGAAUUUUCGACUGCAAUGCAUUAACCUUGUUACGGAGGAGUAUUCUAUCUCUGACCCGUGGUCCUACACCACGUACUGUAGCGCUACCUAAUGAUGCCCUUCGCGGAGCGGUGACGUAGGAGACUAUUGUGUUAUUUCUAGUAACCGCAUUCACCGUGGAGCGUCGUCGUUGAACGAUGAAACUCGCCUGUGGUCCCGGGUCAAACCGUUCAGCGCACCCGAGUAGGAUUCAUACCAAGGUACGAACGUAGGACGUCGAUACUACCCGCCCAAUAUUAUACCUUUCUUCCCCCGUUUGGACUACUCACCUGUGUCAAAGUGUGAAAGUGACUCGUGUUCAGAAGACAUUUAAGGUAACGAACCCGCGGAGUACUUGAGCCGUAGACGAACCGAACACCAAGUAGACUACCCUUGUAAAGUCAGAAGUGUCGAGCAAGACUACCACCCACCCUCUGCUGCGCGUAGCUGGUCCGAGUAGGUCACCCGCACUGGAGACAAAGGACCCGAGGUCGCUACCGGGGACCACGGGAUUAGUCGGGUCCCGGAAGACCCGUCAAACUUAUACAAGUCUUUGAACGAAGACCACCGACACUGUUGUGACAGUUCCACACCUUCGAGUGGUUGCCUUCAACCUCCUACCUGACGAAGGGUCGGGAAGUCUACGUGUCCCUGACCCACUCUCUGCAGCGGACCCGAGGUUUGGAUCCGGAGGGUUUCAGGUGUUAGCGGUCGCGGAGAGUCCUACCUUGACAUCAGUAGACCUGUCGCGGCUUUCUUCCGCUCGUUACCCUUCCGUCCCAAGACUUACUAAAGUCUUGGGGACAAACCUCCAACAGUACCAGCGACUGUCCUUUGUAUGACCGCCAGAGACUACCGUUGUUGUUACACUGGGACACCUUUCUUCGACACCUGCCACUUACCGUCGUUCACUGAUGGCAGCUCGGUAUCUACAAAGCACAAGAUGGAGAUCGACGUAAAUAUAGCGAUAGUAUUGUUUACAUCAGACAGAAAUAAAAUAGACAUACCGAAGCUAAUGUUCACCAUUGAGGGGCACUAACAAUCCGACAACGGAUACUGUUCGAAAAAAGAACCAGUUUUUCGUCUAUUAAACCUUGAAGAUAGGGUUAACCUGAGUACAUACCAAUGCUCCUGAAAACGGACCGGUCCGUCGACAUGCAUGUUGAAAAAAAAACAAACCAACGUUUGGACCGGACUCUGUUUAUGAAAUUUAUAAUUUAUUUAUCUAAA